rnacentral:lncRNA from 1 species
CUUCCACAGGACGCAGCAUCUUCUCUUAAGUUGCUGCUCGACCAUCUGUCCUGGGGCCAAAAGAUGAAAUCCUUAGACAUUGGAAUCUCAGAGUCUCUGUCCAGGUGGCUCUCACCCAAUCCCUGCCCUUGUAAGCUACUUGGCCUAGAAAGCAGGUGCAUACUCUUUUUCUUCAAAUUUAUUGAAGAAAAGAAUGAGAGAUGACUAAUGAAUAAACCAGACCAAACUACUCAAAGGACCUCCUGAUUUUUUCCCCAUUUCUAGGCAUAUAGGAAAUCAGGUCCAGUUCUCUGGUCUCAUUCACAGACAGUUCCUACUUCUCUCCUGGCAGAAACUGUCACCCCACAGGCCUUGUUCUGCCAGGAGAUAGAAAUGCCCAAGGGUUAUCUAGGACCAGGGCAGAAAGGACCACUCACUUGUCAAAGAUGAAGUAAAUGUCAAAGUCACCAUCACAAUAUUGCAGAGGAUCUUCCUCAUCUACCCCAGUCUGUCUUGCCUUUCUGACUUCAUGACUAAAGAACCUAGCAGAGUCCUCAAGAUAGGGUUUUUGGCCGGAUCGAGGAUACAGAAAACUCUGGACUGCAAUGAAUAGCGUAGACAAUAGUAGCAGCAGCAGCAUAAAAUAGAUCUUCUAAUGCAUUUAAUGUACAAGUGCCUUACAGCACACUGCAUUGGAUUGGUGGUGGACUUUCAUUUGUUCUGUUUCAGGAAUUAUUUGAAAUGACAGAGUAUGUUGAACGGAUGGUGCUUUAAAAUCUGGUGUACUGCCCAUCGGCAUAUUACAGUUCUCCUGACUCAAAACCAAGAAAUACAGUGGGGGUCCAAGCCAGAGAUGAACUUUAGCCCAGUUAUCUCUGAGAAAGCCUCUAUGCAAUUCCGAGUUCCACCUCUCUGUUCAGGCCUUCCCAAAGAGCCCCAUCUUGAAAGCUCUCCUACUGUUUCUUUCCUGAGAGUCUAACCCUUCAAAUACAGUAAAAUGGUUAAGUCACCAAGGUUGAGUGGCUUGUCACACAGCAGUGGAUGAUUAGACUGAUCACAGAAGAUGGUGGCAGGAACCUGUCAUCUCCACCACUUCUAGACUUGUCAUUGCCUAGCUGGCUUCAGGACCCACAAAUAGCUUCCGAUUUCCCACCUGGACUUCCUUACAUAUUUCAAAGUGACCCGUGAUCUUGGCCACUUUGAAACACCAUCUCAGUGAACAAAAUGUCUGGAUUCAGUGGCGAGGACAGAGGACUUCCUGUACCAGUACCAUGACUGGAAAAACUACCACGGACUUGGUUUGGACCCCAGAACUUUCUCCUAUGAAGACCAGAACCCAAAGCAUAUGUGGCACCAAAGAAAUUCGGCUCAAGAACCAUGCCAGGCCACUCCUGACAUCUACUUUGUUCUGGAUAGGUCUGCUCACAUGCUGUACGGCUGGCCACACGUUCACAAGUUUGUGCUGGACAUGGUGACGAGGUUAUCAAGGGGCCACAUUGUCACAGGGUACAGAAAUUUUCAUGACAUUUAUCCCAAGUCCCUAUGCCUACUAGUUAAGGCCUCGAAGUGGAAGGGUGGAGACUAGGGAAAGGAGAAUCUUGUUUCAGUACCCUCCUGGAUAUCUGGAUGAUGUCAUGUGGUGGUGGUGGUGACUGUGGCUUCUCAAACACCUGUUUCCUCCCAGCCCGGAUCUGCGAGUGUCUAUCAUCACCUACUCCUGUAAGGGCAACGUCAUCUUGCCCAUCACUGGAGACAGGUAGGUCAGUGGACAGGAAGAUUGCUGGGCACCAGGAGGUUCUGGGGUCCAGGGAAAAGCAGCUGAGGCCCACUCUGGGAAAAGGGCAUCUGGAAAAGAGCACUGACUCCAAGGCUGGCCUUUAUACUACAGGCAGAUAAGUGGAGCAGGUAUCCAUAGAGGGAGGUGACCCAUUCGUCCCUAGAGUAUCAGAGAAAGGAUACUGGGAGCUUCUGACUAUCUGGGAGGAAGAGCUUUGGAUGCCUGGCCUGGAAAUUCAUACAGAGUGAGAAGACGAGAGAGAAAGGCACAGGCAUUAAGGAUUAGGGAAUGUGCAGAGGUCUAGGAAGCCUCUGUCCAGGGCCUAGGAGAAAAGCAAGGAACAGUGUGUGAAAGAGAACAUAUCCCAGGCCCAUGGGGAUGAUGGCUGUGUGGUUCAACUGGGAAAAGGAACAGGAGUGCUGGCUCUAGGAGUCCAGGGAAAAUCUGGCUUGUUCAGAGACCUGAUGGGUGUGAUGCAACAGAGGUAACAUCUAUGGGACAGAUUCUGGUUGGAAAGCCUAGAGAGGCAUAGGGGCCAGGCAGAUGGGUGGGGACUGGGCUGGGGUUGGCAGGCUGUGAUUUGACUCCACUGGUUAUAAUGGGUGUUCCCUCACACUCCCUAGGCUGGGCUGGGCCAGGCACAAUGCCCUCAGAGUGCAGCUCAUGGCAAGCUUUCUUUGACCCCAACAGGAAUCCACUUUAGAGUCAGUGAGAAGAAAUCCUCAAGGGUAUUGAAAGAAUGAAGUAUAGCAUAACUGCAGGACAUGAACUCAUUUACCAAGGAUUGUGGAAGGCAAAUAAGCAGAUAAUAAGGGGCAACAGAAGAGGUGCCCAGCACCCCAGCAUGAUCAUCUUCUUGCUCCAUGGCCCUCUGGAUAAUCAGGGCUAUGGGUAUUCGCUGGAUGAGACUAAUGAUACUCGAAGAAUGGGAGGAUACGUUUGCGGUGUGGGUACUGGUCAGUCUGAGAGAAAUCAGAUAAUAGGACUUGCAGGUGGUCAGGAAUAUGCAUUUACAAACAAGAAACCUGAAGAACUGAGUGACCUCAUUAUACCGUUAUCGUCCAAGGCCUGUCCAUCCCUUAAAACUGCAAUUACACGCAUUAUAUGUAUAAGAGAAUCAAACCCAGUGUUACUUGAAGGAUAUGGCUUUGACUUUGCCAGGCGUAAAGAAGACGUUAUCUGCAGGUUCUAUUUUGGUGGCGCAAAAAAGACUAUAAUAGUUUGGCCAUUUUCUUCCAGAUUCCCCCCCCAUCAAUAUAACCAAGACAACUGUUACUUGUCCUGGACCAAUUGUAGAUUCUGUGGGAAGAGUGCCUGAAUUUUAGCAUAAGUGUGAGAAGAACUGGGGUUAUCCCUUGAGUCAAGCCCAAGGUCCUUGUCACCAGGCUGUUUCUCAGUGUCUGUCUCUGUGUUAGAGCGAUCCAUAUUCAACUCAGCCUGGACAAUGGAAAAAACUUUCUGCAUAACCAUUUAUACGUUGCCACUAGGACAUGGGGGAAAAGUCCACUAACUACAGUUAGAUACAGCAGUACUACAACCACUAGGAGAACCACAAUUACAACUACCACCACAACUCCAUCUACUACGCCUACCACGACAACCACCGAAACCACCACAAAGGAACCAAAGCCAAGCAUCGAUAAAUUCAUUUUUGCCCCUGUCCUCCUGGCCCUGCUGCUGCUGCUGUUGCUGAUCGGUUGUUUCUGGCAGCUGUGCUGUGUUCCGCCUGUAGAGGAGCUGCCCCCACCUAAGCCCCAACCACAGCCCAGAGAGAAGAAGCAACCUCCUCCGGUGUCUCCCCCGGUACCCACCAGACCUGUAAACCCACCCCCCAUCAUGAUCAUCUGCUGUUGUACCUGUCGUGGUCUGUAUGUGAGCAGAGACACGAAGGGGGCAAUGUGACUGUGUGCAACUUCAAUCCCCUAUGCUGCCCUCAGUUGCCAUUGAGAUGGCCUCAGUAUGGUGGCCAGGGGCGGUUUGCCAACUGGGCACUCCUGAAGGGACCCUGCAUCCCCAUGGCCAGUCUGCUUGCUGGACGAGAGCAUCUGCCUUUAGUUUCCUGCUCUCAGUGCCACCGCCUCUCAGCUAACCACUCCAGGUAUUCCUCCAACUUACGGCAGCUUGCUCUUCAUCCUUGGGCUCCCAGAGUUCUACAGUCACUCCCUCCUACAUAGUGGACAUCUCAGGGGCACAAAGUGAAGACUAAGAGGUCUUUGCUGCUACAUUUUGUACAUUGGGGUUAGGAUUUUAAUAAAUGGAAUAAUAGAUUGGAACUUGUUGCUG